rnacentral:rRNA from 1 species
UACGGGGGGAGCAAGCGUUGUUCGGAUUUACUGGGCGUAAAGGGCGCGUAGGCGGUCAGCACAGGUCAGUUGUGAAAUCUCCGGGCUUAACUCGGAAAGGUCAACUGAUACUGUGCGACUAGAGUGCAGAAGGGGCAACUGGAAUUCUCGGUGUAGCGGUGAAAUGCGUAGAUAUCGAGAGGAACACCUGCGGCGAAGGCGGGUUGCUGGGCUGACACUGACGCUGAGGCGCGGAAGCCAGGGGAGCGAACGGG